rnacentral:rRNA from 1 species
AUACGUAGGUGGCAAGCGUUGUCCGGAAUUAUUGGGCGUAAAGCGCGCGUAGGCGGUUCUUUAAGUCUGAUGUGAAAGCCCACAGCUUAACUGUGGAGGGUCAUUGGAAACUGGGGAACUUGAGUGCAGAAGAGAAGAGCGGAAUUCCAUGUGUAGCGGUGAAAUGCGUAGAGAUAUGGAGGAACACCAGUGGCGAAGGCGGCUCUUUGGUCUGUAACUGACGCUGAGGCGCGAAAGCGUGGGGAGCAAACAGGAUUAGAUACCCUGGUAGUCCACGCCGUAAACGAUGAGUGCUAAGUGUUAGAGGGUUUCCGCCCUUUAGUGCUGCAGUUAACGCAUUAAGCACUCCGCCUGGGGAGUACGGCCGCAAGGUUGAA